rnacentral:rRNA from 1 species
UACGUAGGGGGCAAGCGUUGUCCGGAAUCAUUGGGCGUAAAGAGCGUGUAGGCGGCCAGAUAAGUCCGCUGUGAAAUCUCGAGGCUCAACUUCGAGCUGUCGGUGGAAACUGUCUGGCUAGAGUCCGGAAGAGGAGAAUGGAAUUCCUGGUGUAGCGGUGAAAUGCGCAGAUAUCAGGAAGAACACCAAUGGCGAAGGCAGCUCUCUGGGCCGUAACUGACGCUGAGGAGCGAAAGCAUGGGGAGCGAACAGG